GAUGAACGCUGGCGGCGUGCCUAAUACAUGCAAGUCGAGCGAACAGACGAGGAGCUUGCUCCUCUGACGUUAGCGGCGGACGGGUGAGUAACACGUGGAUAACCUACCUAUAAGACUGGGAUAACUUCGGGAAACCGGAGCUAAUACCGGAUAAUAUAUUGAACCGCAUGGUUCAAUAGUGAAAGACGGUUUUGCUGUCACUUAUAGAUGGAUCCGCGCCGCAUUAGCUAGUUGGUAGGGUAACGGCUUACCAAGGCAACGAUGCGUAGCCGACCUGAGAGGGUGAUCGCCCACACUGGAACUGAGACACGGUCCAGACUCCUACGGGAGGCAGCAGUAGGGAAUCUUCCGCAAUGGGCGAAAGCCUGACGGAGCAACGCCGCGUGAGUGAUGAAGGUCUUCGGAUCGUAAAACUCUGUUAUUAGGGAAGAACAAAUGUGUAAGUAACUAUGCACGUCUUGACGGUACCUAAUCAGAAAGCCACGGCUAACUACGUG
rnacentral:rRNA from 1 species